GGCCCUGGCACAUGUGUCUCAUCUGCCUCCUUGCUUGCAAGCCAUUUCCCUCACUUUAAAAUCAAGCUUCUGUUUGGUUCCUGACUCUCCUGUCUCUAGCCUGCUCUGUUCAGCUUGGGCCAUCCACAGGACCUAUCAGAACUUGAAUUCUAGGAGCACAUCCUUCAAAGAACCCAGGGCUACCUCUAAACCAUUCUGGGAUUUCAUUGACAGAAGAUUUCACUGUGAGGAAAUCAAAAGUAGCUCCUCCUCAGGAAUGACAAUAGGGAGCCAUAACAAAUUGAGCUUAUAUACACACAGCAGCAACUUUGUGAGUCAUCUUUUGUAAAUGAGCCCUUUAGGGAGAAGUAAAGUAAGUACAUAUGCCUCAACAUCACUAACACGGUUGAAGUGACAAUUCUUGAAAUGACAGUUCCUCAACCUGUGAGAAGAAAAUGAUGACUUUGCUUAGCAGGAGAAGAAAGAACUGAGCAGCUAAUGUUUUCAAAAUAAUGCUUCCAAAUAUCCCCUUAAUAGCUGACUAUUACAAGUGAAGUUGUUUGCAGUUUAGUCCAACAUGAGAUUAUCACAUUAACUCCCACUACAUGGUGAUUGUUACCAUGGUUACCUUUCCUGAGCUGGAAAAGUACAGCUGUUCCCAUCCAUCCCUCAUGAGAGCAUCAGGAACAGAAGGGUAAAUAUACAUGCAUCCCAGGACAUGAAAUGAACAGCUAAAUUCUGUAGCCUGAGGAUGAAAGCUCACCUGAACCAGGUCCCUUUAGCAAGAAGAAUGACAACAAAUUUCUUCAACUUAGAAGCGAUACAGGCAUGAUUCAUUCAGCAGUUUGAAAUGAACACACCCACCUCAUCGACUCUAAACUUUGUAAUUAAGGCAUAAGUUAAUUAAGUU